rnacentral:rRNA from 1 species
GGGACACGUGAAACCCUGUGGGAAGCAGGAGGGACCACCCUCCAAGGCUAAAUACUACCUAGUGACCGAUAGCGUAUAGUACCGUGAGGGAAAGGUGAAAAGAACCCCGGGAGGGGAGUGAAAUAGAACCUGAAACCCUGCACUUACAAGCUGUGGAAGCACAUUUCUUGUGUGACCGCGUACUUUUUGUAGAACGGGCCAACGAGUUACGUUAAGUAGCAAGGUUAAGCACUUAAGGUGCGGAGCCGUAGCGAAAGCGAGUUUUAACUGAGCGUUCAGUUACUUGACGUAGACCCGAAACCGGGCGACCUACCCAUGAGCAGGAUGAAGCGAAAGUAAAAUUUCGUGGAGGUCCGAACCCACGAGCGUUGAAAAGCUCGGGGAUGACUUGUGGGUAGCGGUGAAAUUCCAAUCGAGCCCGGAGAUAGCUGGUUCUCCCCGAAAUAGCUUUAGGGCUAGCCUCAAGGUGAGAGAUACGGAGGUAGAGCACUGAAUGUCCUAGGGGGUAUUGCACCUACCGAAGACUAUCAAACUCCGAAUGCCGUCAUCUUAUACUUGGGAGUCAGACUGUGGGUGAUAAGAUUCAUAGUCGAAAGGGCAACAGCCCAGAUCGUCAGCUAAGGUCCCUAAAUGUAAGUUAAGUGGUAAAGGAUGUGGGAUUGCACAGACAACCAGGAUGUUGGCUUAGAAGCAGCCACUCAUUCAAAGAGUGCGUAAUAGCUCACUGGUCGAGUGAUCCUGCGCCGAAGAUUUCCGGGGCUAAAACUUACUACCGAAGCUACGGCAUCAGUAAUGAUGGGUAGGGGAGCUUCCCAUACGGGUUGAAGCAUGACCGUAAGGACAUGUGGACAGUAUGGGAGUGAGAAUGUUGGCAUGAGUAGCGAGAUGUGGGUGAGAAUCCCACAGGCCGUAAACCCAAGGUUUCCAGGGGAAGGUUCGUCCGCCCUGGGUUAGUCGGGACCUAAGCUGAGGCCGAAAGGCGUAGGUGAUGGACAACAGGUUGAUAUUCCUGUACUACCGAUAACCGUUUGAGAGAAGGGAUGACACAGUAGGAUAAGCUAAGCACACUGUUGGUUAUGUGUGCCCAAGCAUUGAGGCAGUCAAAGUAGGCAAAUCCGCUUUGAUAAUGCUGGGAUGUGAUGGGGAGCGAAAUUUAGUAGCGAAGUAGCUGAUUUCACACUGUCAAGAAAAGUCUCUAUCGAGGUUAAAGGUACCCGUACCGCAAACCGACACAGGUGGGUGAGGAGAGUAUCCUAAGGCCAGCGAGAGAACUGUUGUUAAGGAACUCGGCAAAAUGACCCCGUAACUUAGGGAUAAGGGGUGCCACCAUCAGGUGGCCGCAGAGAAUAGGCCCAAGCGACUGUUUACCAAAAACAUAGGUUUCUGCUAAGUCGCAAGACGAUGUAUAGGAGCUGACGCCUGCCCGGUGCUGGAAGGUUAAGGGGAUCUGUUAGAGCAAUCGAAGCAGUGAACUUAAGCCCCAGUAAACGGCGGCCGUAACUAUAACGGUCCUAAGGUAGCGAAAUUCCUUGUCGGGUAAGUUCCGACCCGCACGAAAGGCGUAACGAUUUGGGCACUGUCUCAACAACAGACUCGGUGAAAUUGUAAUUCCGGUGAAGAUGCCGGAUACCUGCGACAGGACGGAAAGACCCCAUGGAGCUUUACUGUAGCUUGACAUUGGGUCUUGGUACUACAUGUACAGGAUAGGUGGGAGGCUUUGAAACCAGGACGCCAGUUUUGGCGGAGCCAUCCUUGGGAUACCACCCUUGUA